rnacentral:rRNA from 1 species
UGGGGAAUAUUGGACAAUGGGCGCAAGCCUGAUCCAGCCAUGCCGCGUGAGUGAUGAAGGCCUUAGGGUCGUAAAGCUCUUUCGCCGGUGAAGAUAAUGACGGUAACCGGAGAAGAAGCCCCGGCUAACUUCGUGCCAGCAGCCGCGGUAAUACGAAGGGGGCUAGCGUUGCUCGGAAUCACUGGGCGUAAAGCGCACGUAGGCGGAUCGUUAAGUCAGGGGUGAAAUCCUGGAGCUCAACUCCAGAACUGCCCUUGAUACUGGCGAUCUCGAGUUCGAGAGAGGUUGGUGGAACUCCGAGUGUAGAGGUGAAAUUCGUAGAUAUUCGGAAGAACACCAGUGGCGAAGGCGGCCAACUGGCUCGAUACUGACGCUGAGGUGCGAAAGCGUGGGGAGCAAAACAGGAUUAGAUACCCUGGUAGUCCACGCCGUAAACGAUGGAUGCUAGCCGUUGGGGGGUUUACCUCUCAGUGGCGCAGCUAACGCCUUAAGCAUCCCGCCUGGGGAGUACGGUCGCAAGAUUAAAACUUAAAUGAAUUG